UACAGAGGGGGCAAGCGUUGUUCGGAAUUACUGGGCGUAAAGGGCGCGUAGGCGGCCUGCUAAGUCGAACGUGAAAUCCCUGGGCUCAACCCAGGAACUGCGUCCGAUACUGAUUGGCUUGAAUCCGGGAGAGGGAUGUGGAAUUCCAGGUGUAGCGGUGAAAUGCGUAGAUAUCUGGAGGAACACCGGUGGCGAAGGCGACAUCCUGGACCGGUAUUGACGCUGAGGCGCGAAAGCCAGGGGAGCAAACGGG
rnacentral:rRNA from 1 species